rnacentral:misc_RNA from 1 species
ACACCUCAACUCCUCAUGGUUUGCCAUGAUGAGCUUGGACUCUGGGGGUCUUGCUGGCCUAUGGUUGGCUCCUCUCAAAUGGAUCAGCUUGCCAGUGUUUGGUGGCGUCACAGGUGUGAUAAAUAUCUACGCUUGUGGUUUCCACCAUAUAGCCUUCAGCGAUGAAGGUUCUCUGGAGCUCACAAAUGUCCCUCCCCAGCGAAGACAGCUUUUUUGAAC